rnacentral:rRNA from 1 species
AUGAAAUUCCGUGAUACCAAAGGGACUCUGUAAAGGCGAAGGCAGCCCUCUAUGUAUAAACUGACGUUGAAGGACGAAGGCACAGAGAACAAACAGGAUUAGAUACCCUAAUAGUCUUUGCAGUAAAUGAUGAAUGCCAUAGGUCAGUGUGGGAUUAUAAGAGUAAUAGUACUCUUCCCUUGGUCUAUAAAUGAAAGUGUAAGCAUUUCACCUCAAGAGUAAUGUGGCAACGCAGGAACUGAAAUCACUAGACCGUUUCUGACACCAGUAGUGAAGUAUGUUGUUUAAUUCGAUGAUCCACGAAAAACCUUACCACAAUUUGAAUAAUUAUAUUACAGGAGUUGCACGGCUGUUUCCAGUUAAUGUUGUGAAACUGUGGUUUCCAUGAAAUUAACGUAAUCCCUGGCUUUAUUUUUAUAAGCUCAUUGCAGCUAUUACGAUAAAGCAUUCGAUCCUGGAAAUUUGGAAAGAGAAAGGGGACAAAGACAAGUCAUAUAUGGCUUAGUACCAUGAGCUUUAGGGCGUCCCCGGAGUUUGAUAGUUUAUCCCACGAUGGUGAUUUCCUAGAUCACUCAGCAGGCCAUGAUGACUUGUCUUUGUCCCCU